UACGUAGGUGGCAAGCGUUGUUCGGAAUUAUUGGGCGUAAAGGGCGCGUAGGCGGUUUGUUAAGUCGGCUGUGAAAGCCCGGGGCUCAACCCCGGAGGGUCAGCCGAUACUGGCAGACUAGAGUACGGAAGAGGUAGCUGGAAUUCCCGGUGUAGCGGUGAAAUGCGUAGAUAUCAGGAGGAACACCGGUGGCGAAGGCGGGUCUCUGGGCAGUAACUGACGCUGAGGAGCGAAAGCGUGGGGAGCGAACAGG
rnacentral:rRNA from 1 species